GGGUGAGUAACACGUGGGUAACCUGCCCAUCAGAAGGGGAUAACACUUGGAAACAGGUGCUAAUACCGUAUAACAAUCGAAACCGCAUGGUUUUGAUUUGAAAGGCGCUUUCGGGUGUCGCUGAUGGAUGGACCCGCGGUGCAUUAGCUAGUUGGUGAGGUAACGGCUCACCAAGGCCACGAUGCAUAGCCGACCUGAGAGGGUGAUCGGCCACAUUGGGACUGAGACACGGCCCAAACUCCUACGGGAGGCAGCAGUAGGGAAUCUUCGGCAAUGGACGAAAGUCUGACCGAGCAACGCCGCGUGAGUGAAGAAGGUUUUCGGAUCGUAAAACUCUGUUGUUAGAGAAGAACAAGGAUGAGAGUAACUGUUCAUCCCUUGACGGUAUCUAACCAGAAAGCCACGGCUAACUACGUGCCAGCAGCCGCGGUAAUACGUAGGUGGCAAGCGUUGUCCGGAUUUAUUGGGCGUAAAGCGAGCGCAGGCGGUUUCUUAAGUCUGAUGUGAAAGCCCCCGGCUCAACCGGGGAGGGUCAUUGGAAACUGGGAGACUUGAGUGCAGAAGAGGAGAGUGGAAUUCCAUGUGUAGCGGUGAAAUGCGUAGAUAUAUGGAGGAACACCAGUGGCGAAGGCGGCUCUCUGGUCUGUAACUGACGCUGAGGCUCGAAAGCGUGGGGAGCAAACAGGAUAGAUACCCUGGUAGUCCACGCCGUAACGAUGAGUUAAGUGU
rnacentral:rRNA from 1 species